rnacentral:tRNA from 1 species
UCCCUGGUGGCUCAGAGGGUAAAGCGUCUGCCCGCAAUGCAGGAGACCCAGGUUCGAUCCCUGGGUUGGGAA